AGUAAUGUAUGGGGAUCUGCCUGAUGGCGGGGGGUAACUACUGGAAACGGUAGCUAAUACCGCAUAAUGUCUGCGGACCAAAGCGGGGGACCUCCGGGCCUCGCGCCAUCAGAUGAACCCAUAUGGGAUUAGCUAGUAGGUAAGGUAACGGCUUACCUAGGCGACGAUCCCUAGCUGGUCUGAGAGGAUGAUCAGCCACACUGAGACUGAGACACGGCCCAG
rnacentral:rRNA from 1 species